rnacentral:misc_RNA from 1 species
AACGCACAUUGCGCCCCUUGGCAUUCCGAGGGGCACACCUGUUCGAGCGUCAUUUCACCAGUCAAGCUCCGCUUGGUAUUGGGCCCUCUCGUCCCCGGCGCCCCGUUGAGGGGCGUGUGGGACGGGCCCCAAAGACCUCGGCGGUACGGUCCUGCUCCGGGCGUAGCAGCAUACACCUCGCUCGUGGGGUCAGGACCUGUGCCUUAGCCGCUAACGUGGGGAUGGGGGACUUUCACCCCCAACUCCCUCUCUCUUAGGUUGACCUCGGAUCAGGUGGGGAUACCCGCUGAACUUAA